rnacentral:rRNA from 1 species
UGGGGAAUUUUGGACAAUGGGCGAAAGCCUGAUCCAGCAAUGCCGCGUGUGUGAAGAAGGCCUUCGGGUUGUAAAGCACUUUUGUCCGGAAAGAAAUCCUUGGCUCUAAUACAGUCGGGGGAUGACGGUACCGGAAGAAUAAGCACCGGCUAACUACGUGCCAGCAGCCGCGGUAAUACGUAGGGUGCAAGCGUUAAUCGGAAUUACUGGGCGUAAAGCGUGCGCAGGCGGUUUGCUAAGACCGAUGUGAAAUCCCCGGGCUCAACCUGGGAACUGCAUUGGUGACUGGCAGGCUAGAGUAUGGCAGAGGGGGGUAGAAUUCCACGUGUAGCAGUGAAAUGCGUAGAGAUGUGGAGGAAUACCGAUGGCGAAGGCAGCCCCCUGGGCCAAUACUGACGCUCAUGCACGAAAGCGUGGGGAGCAAACAGGAUUAGAUACCCUGGUAGUCCACGCCCUAAACGAUGUCAACUAGUUGUUGGGGACUUCAUUUCCUUAGUAACGUAGCUAACGCGUGAAGUUGACCGCCUGGGGAGUACGGUCGCAAGAUUAAAACUUAAAGGAAUUGACGGGGUCAUAGCUGUUUCCU